UGACGGCCACAUCAUGUUGAAACAGCAGUUCCCGUAAAAUCACCGAAGUUAAGCCUGGUCAGUACCUAGAUUGGUGACCUCUUGGAAAUACCAGGUGCUGUAAG